rnacentral:lncRNA from 1 species
AAGAAAGACACUCAAAACAGAAAAAGAAACACAAAAGGAAACAAAAUAGAUCACCAGGCAAUCUGGAGGGGCAGGGAGCCGGAGAAGAGGGGUGGGGUGGGGAAACAUGGGCAGCAGCUUGCGCAGUUGAGACGUGUCCAUGGCGAAUCCCCAGAGUGAAUAAGCAGCCCCCUGCCCCACUCCCUGGGCCUUCCCCUACU